AUCUACGGCCAUGCCACCCUGAACAAGUCUGAUCCUGUGAUCUCGGAAGCUAAGCAGAGUCGAGCCUGGUUAGUACUUGGAUGGGAGACCACCUAGGAAGACCAGGUGCUGUAGGCG
rnacentral:rRNA from 1 species